rnacentral:rRNA from 1 species
CCCUUAGAUGUUCUGGGCUGCACACGUGCUACACUAGCAGGUUCAGCGAGCUUCAUGCCCUGAUCUGAAAGGAAUGGGAAAUCUUUUCAAAACCUGCCGUGCUUGGGAUAGAUGUUUGCAAUUAUUCAUCUUCAACGAGGAUUGCCUUGUAAGCGCACGUCAUCAGCGUGCAUUGAAUACGACCCUGUAUUCUGUACACACCGCCCGUCGCUCCUACCGAUUGAAGUUUUCGGUGAGUUGACAGGAGGAUUUUUUUGAAACUGGUUCGCCAGUGGAUUUUAGAUCCAAAUGCCAACGAAUCGAUGGCUUUAGAGGAAGGAGAAGUCGUAACA